UUAGAGUCCGAGUUGUAAUUUGCAGAGGGCGCUUUGGCUUUGGCAGCGGUCCAAGUUCCUUGGAACAGGACGUCACAGAGGGUGAGAAUCCCGUACGUGGUCGCUGGCUAUUGCCGUGUAAAGCCCCUUCGACGAGUCGAGUUGUUUGGGAAUGCAGCUCUAAAUGGGAGGUACAUUUCUUCUAAAGCUAAAUAUUGGCCAGAGACCGAUAGCGCACAAGUAGAGUGAUCGAAAGAUGAAAAGCACUUUGGAAAGAGAGUCAAACAGCACGUGAAAUUGUUGAAAGGGAAGCGCUUGCAGCCAGACUUGCUUACAGUUGCUCAUCCGGGUUUCUACCCGGUGCACUCUUCUGUAGGCAGGCCAGCAUCAGUUUGGGCGGUAGGAUAAAGGUCUCUGUCACGUACCUCCUUUCGGGGAGGCCUUAUAGGGGAGACGACAUACUACCAGCCUGGACUGAGGUCCGCGCAUCUGCUAGGAUGCUGGCGUAAUGGCUGUAAGCGGCCCGUCUUGAAACACGGACCAAGGAGUCUAACAUCUAUGCGAGUGUUUGGGUGUCAAGCCCGAGCGCGUAAUGAAAGUGAACGGAGGUGGGAACCCGCAAGGGUGCACCAUCGACCGAUCCUGAUGUCUUCGGAAGGAUUUGAGUAAGAGCAUGGCUGUUGGGACCCGAAAGAUGGUGAACUAUGCUUGAAUAGGGUGAAGCCAGAGGAAACUCUGGUGGAGGCUCGCAGCGGUUCUGACGUGCAAAUCGAUCGUCAAAUUUGGGCAUAGGGGCGAAAGACUAAUCGAACUAUCUAGUAGCUGGUUCCUGCCGAAGUUUCCCUCAGGAUAGCAGUAACGUAUUCAGUUUUAUGAGGUAAAGCGAAUGAUUAGAGGCCUGGGGGUUGAAACAACCUUCACCUAUUCUCAAACUUUAAAUAUGUAAGAAGUCCUUGUUACUUAAUUGAACGUGGACAGUUGAAUGAAACGUUAUUAGUGGGCCAUUUUUGGUAAGCAGAACUGGCGAUGCGGGAUGAACCGAACGAGGGGUUAAAGUGCCGGAAUAUACGCUCAUCAGACACCACAAAAGGUGUUGGUUCAUCUAGACAGCAGGACGGUGGCCAUGGAAGUCGGAAUCCGCUAAGGAGUGUGUAACAACUCACCUGCCGAAUGAACUAGCC
rnacentral:rRNA from 1 species